rnacentral:rRNA from 1 species
UACAGAGGGGGCAAGCGUUGUUCGGAAUUACUGGGCGUAAAGGGCGCGUAGGCGGCCUUCUAAGUCGAACGUGAAAUCCCUGGGCUCAACCCAGGAACUGCGUCCGAUACUGGAAGGCUUGAAUCCGGGAGAGGGAUGCGGAAUUCCAGGUGUAGCGGUGAAAUGCGCAGAUAUCAGGAGGAACACCGAUGGCGAAGGCAGGUCUCUGGGCAACAACUGACGCUGAGGAGCGAAAGCGUGGGGAGCGAACAGG